UAGUUAAAUGCAAGAAAAUGAUAAUAUUUGGUUAUGGAUCAAAAUGCAGAAAGGCUUGCAAGCAAAACUCUUAUGUGGAGGGAAUAGGGAGGUUAGGUCUUUUUAGUUCUGAUGAUUGGAGUCCACUACAAGAUGAUCCCCAACCCUUAUAGACUACAGAGGAAUUCUUCACACUAUCUCGUACUGUACUGCUUAGAUUUAAUCUAAAAGCGUUUACAAUGGCAUUGGGAUUUUCAAGCUGACGACUGGAUAUAUGCUUUGACAGUGAGGAAACAAAAAACAGAUAGUUAAAGAGAAACAUUUAAGAUUUUGCAAUUGCAAACAUUGGUAAUUUCAACUGUACAUGCUUGAUCAAUUGCAAAUAUUAGUAUAUUCUUAUCCAUGUCAAACUGAAGUCAUUUGCAUUUUUCUAUUACAAUCCAAUCAAUUUCAAGGGAUGUCAUCAUAAGAUCAUUCAACUGUAGUCCAGCUAGAGAAAUUGAACCAUCUGCAAAACAGCAUUUUAUGUCAGAGGUUUAUCUAGCAGUGAGAAUGCACCACCAAGAAAACUCUGCACACAUUGAUGGAUUGAUGAGGUUCUUACUAAAGCAAGGCAUUUUGCUUCACGUAUCUCAGGUAGUUUCUCAUUAUUUGACCUUUGUAAUCUUUUGGAGGGGCUUGAUUAUUCGAUUGCUUGCUAGUUUGCGCAACUAUAACUUUGGCACAUACAUUAUUUUCUUAAUGACUUAAUCUUUUCGAGGUAUAAAGAGAAGUUAAUUAAGAGUGGACGUGUCCCUGAAUUCCAUUCCAUGGAAACACUGGGGAUGACCCUAAAUGGCUUGUAAACAUUGAACAGGAUGCUAUGGGAGUUUGUGAUCAUGAGCCGUCACGCGAGGAAGUUUGACACCAGAUUGUUUCGUUGGUUAUAUAUUUGUACCUAGGAAGGAAAAUAUUUAAGGCAACUAAAUAGUGGUGAAAUUGAUACUUACAUCAUUCAUCAUCAGGAUUGUGAUGAUAUUGUUUGUGGCUAGUACCCAAGACUGUUCUGUUAUGCCAUCUAGAAAUAAAUUUUCCGCACCAGCACUUUCCACUGAACUGAGUGAAUGUGCAAUGAUCUUCAGAGACAUUUGAAAGCUGUUCUUUCUGUGAUUCAUCUUGCUGUCCCUACCGGAUCCUCCUCUGCUCUUCUAUCCCCAAAGUUCACUUGGUGAUGUGGUGCUGAAAACCUAUACAGCAAUUGCACAAUACAUGCGUAGAGGUGAAACUAAAUUGGAAAGCAAAGCUACAUCUUCGUUUGGGAAUUCUUUUUAUGCCUAUCUCACUCUAGUAUGGUGGUAAACCUCAAACUGCGGAAAACCAAAGUUGUUCUGCCAGACUCCUUUAUGAGUAAACUGAUCUCUUCUCUUGAGGCCUCUGUUGUGUUCCUAGAGAGGAAAUUAUGAACCCAGCUAUCACUCAAUUGGACAUAAAAUUAGACAAAGUACGUUGCUGGCUACGUCUCAUCUCAUAGUCUGUAGUUUGCUGUGGAAUUAAUCAAAGCAGAAGAUUUCUGCGUUGGUUCAGCCUGUGAACCAUUAAUUAUUUGCUUAGGUCAUCAAAUGCUUUGUAAAUAGAUGAUUUUGUGAUGUGGAUGAAGAGCAUCCUGAUUGAUUUGCUUGACCACCCACAGGUCCAGGCUGAUUAUUUCUGUUGUAUAUCUUAUGAAUAACUUAAUAAAGUUUGAGGUAUUUCAUGAAAAAAUGAAAAGAAGGCUUUUUCUUUA